AGUGAACGCUGGCGGUAGGCCUAACACAUGCAAGUCGAACGGCAGCACAGUAAGAGCUUGCUCUUACGGGUGGCGAGUGGCGGACGGGUGAGGAAUACAUCGGAAUCUACUUUUUCGUGGGGGAUAACGUAGGGAAACUUACGCUAAUACCGCAUACGACCUACGGGUGAAAGCAGGGGAUCUUCGGACCUUGCGCGAUUGAAUGAGCCGAUGUCGGAUUAGCUAGUUGGCGGGGUAAAGGCCCACCAAGGCGACGAUCCGUAGCUGGUCUGAGGGGAUGAUCAGCCACACUGGAACUGAGACACGGUCCAGACUCCUACGGGAGGCAGCAGUGGGGAAUAUUGGACAAUGGGCGCAAGCCUGAUCCAGCCAUACCGCGUGGGUGAAGAAGGCCUUCGGGUUGUAAAGCCCUUUUGUUGGGAAAGAAAAGCAGCAGGUUAAUACCCCGCUGUUCUGACGGUACCCAGAGAAUAAGCACCGGCUAACUUCGUG
rnacentral:rRNA from 1 species